CACAUACUCUCUCCGUUCUAAAUUACUUGUCGCAGAAAUGGAUGUAUCUAGAACUAAAAUACAUCUAGAUACAUCCAUACCUGCGACAAGUAAUUCAGAACGGAGGGAGUAAUAA
rnacentral:pre_miRNA from 1 species